rnacentral:rRNA from 1 species
UACGAGAGGCCCAAACGUUAUUCGGAUUUACUGGGCUUAAAGAGUUCGUAGGCGGCGCGGAAAGUAGGGUGUGAAAGCCCUCGGCUCAACCGAGGAAUUGCGCUCUAAACUGCCGCGCUCGAGGAACCUAGAGGUGAGCAGAACUGAUGGCGGAGCGGUGAAAUGCGUUGAUAUCAUCAGGAAUACCGGAGGCGAAGGCGGCUCACUGGGGGUUAUCUGACGCUGAGGAACGAAAGCCAGGGGAGCAAACGGG